rnacentral:rRNA from 1 species
AUUGAACGCUGGCGGCAGGCCUAACACAUGCAAGUCGAACGAGUGGCGGACGGGUGAGUAAUGUCUGGGAAACUGCCUGAUGGAGGGGGAUAACUACUGGAAACUGUAGCUAAUACCGCAUACCCUCAGAUGUGCACAGAUGGGAUUAGCUAGUUGGUGGGGUAACGGCUCACCAAGGCGACGCUCCCUAGCUGGUCUGAGAGGAUUACCAGCAACAGUGGAAUUGAGACACGGUCCAGACUCCUACGGGAGGCAGCAGUGGGUAAUAUUGCACAAUUGGCGCGAGCGUGAUGCAGCCAUGCCGCGUGUAUGAUGAAGGCCUUCGGGUUGUAAAGUACUUUCAGCGGGGAAGCGUUACCCGCAGAAGAGGCACAGACUAACUCCGUGCCAGCAGCCGCGGUAAUAC